CCAUCAUAGAAAUCAAGUUCCAAUUAGGUAAGUCACUUUGACAAUAAAGUUUCACACAAAUUGAAAUUACAAAAAAAAAUAAUUCAAACCUGAAUUAAAAUAGGCGAAACUGGAACAGUUAGGACCUCCUUCAACGCUACUGUAAUCUGUUGAGAAAUUAAUUGAGAACUUGGUUAAGAAUAUGGACAAGAGAAAUAUUCAAGGAGGGAUAGAGGAAAUUUCAAAGAUUUCCCUAGUGCAAUACCAAAAAUAGAAUACAAAUUCAUGAAGGAUGAAGAAGAUACUAACUAGCGUAUCUUGAGUUGGCAUUGACUUGGUUUGAGAUCAACAGUAGUAUAAAAUUACAUUUUCUCCUUUUUUACCGAAUUUAAAUUUUAAAGUUUUCUCUCUAUGUUCAAGAUUGGUCCAAGAUUUUCAUGGCAUAUUAAACACUUAAAAAUCAACGACAAACAUAUUAGUCAAAAUCAUAUUAAUUGAAUCUGUUGUACAAACUCACAAGUAGAGAAAAAUAUAUCAAAUUUACUUGCCUAACUUAGGUUCUAUUUCUGUCACUAAGAAGCCAAGAUUGCCCAACUACAUCGUGGACACUAAGAAAUGGAAAAUGACAUCAAAAUAGCAAUGACAGUCAACUAUAUUAUUAAAACUCCAAUUAUUUCUAUACCUUUCCCAUUUUGGAUUAGUAGAUGAUUUUGAAAAAAAAAAAAGGCGCAACCAUGGAAUCUAAAUAAACUUUCUAAAUAAAUUUUCUGGGAAAAAAAAGGCACAACCGCGAAUUUUCUAAAUAAAUUUUGGAGCACUAAAUGGCAUUCAUAUUAUUUAUAUUCUAAUACAUAACUCCAAAUCUUUGUGACAUGCCAAGGAUUUGAUUCACCACCAAUUUUCAAAAGGCACAGCCAGGAAAAAAAUGCUCAUCGUUAUUGACAUCUACCAAACUCUAGAAUACUUUAUAACUUCAAGAAAUGAAAAUUUAUUAACUACUAAUUGAUGCUAUUCAAAAAAAAUUGUUCUCUUUCUAACUUUGACAAGUAGCAACUUGAAUCAAAACAAGUUCCAAAGAUUGACGAAAGGGAGAAUAGAGCAACUUUCUUAUAUAUUGGAAGAAUUCCACAUGGAUUUUAUGAGAAUGAAAUGGAAGGUUUCUUUAAGCAAUUUGGUACAAUCAAGAGACUCAGAAUAGAAAGGAAUAGGAAGACAAGGAAAUCGAGGCAUUUUGGAAUCGUUGAAUUUAAAUCUCCUGAGGUUGGAAAAGUCAUUUCAGAAUUCAUGCAUAACCACUUAUUGUUUGAGCAUCUGUUGCAAGUUCUGCUUGUUCCUACUGAGUGUGUUCAUCCAAAACUAUGGAAAGGUAUGACGCACCGGUACAAACCCUUGGAUUGGGUUAAAAUUGAAAGGAGUCAUCAUGAUAAGGAAAGGAGUUUGGAAGAGCACAAGAAGUUUGUAGAAAGAAUUAUGAAAACGGACCAGAGAAGGCAAAAGAGGAUUGAGGCCUCUGGUAUUGAUUAUGAUUGUCCAGAAAUUAUUGGAAACCAGCCUACCUCAAAAAAGAUUAGUUUGACGCAGAGUAGGCUUUGCAUUGGAAACCAGAAGUAUGCCCCUUUGAAAUUGAACGUGCGUUUCUGUCUG
rnacentral:lncRNA from 1 species